AUGGCUCAGGAUGAACGCUGGCGGCGUGCCUAACACAUGCAAGUCGAACGGAGUUACUAUAUGGAAGUUUCGGAUGGAUUAAUAGUAACUUAGUGGCGGACGGGUGAGUAACGCGUGGGUAACCUGCCUACAUACAGGGGGAUAACAGCUGGAAACGGCUGCCUAACACCGCAUAUAAUGCAAAUGCCGCAUGGCGAACGUAUGAAAUAUUUUAUAGGUAUGAGAUGGGCCCGCGUCUGAUUAGCUAGUUGGUGGGGUAAUGGCCUACCAAGGCGACGAUCAGUAGCCGGCUUGAGAGAGUGACCGGCCACAUUGGGACUGAGACACGGCCCAAACUCCUACGGGAGGCAGCAGUGGGGGAUAUUGCACAAUGGGGGAAACCCUGAAUGCAGCGACGCCGCGUGAGUGAAGAAGUAUUUCGGUAUGUAAAGCUCUAUCAGCAGGGAAGAAAAUGACGGUACCUGACUAAGAAGCCCCGGCUAACUACGUGCCAGCCGCGGC
rnacentral:rRNA from 1 species